rnacentral:rRNA from 1 species
UACGGGGGGAGCAAGCGUUGUUCGGAUUUACUGGGCGUAAAGGGCGCGUAGGCGGCGUGGUAAGUCAGCUGUGAAAUCUCCGAGCUUAACUCGGAACGGUCAGCUGAUACUGCUGUGCUAGAGUGCAGAAGGGGCAAUCGGAAUUCUUGGUGUAGCGGUGAAAUGCGUAGAUAUCAAGAGGAACACCUGAGGUGAAGACGGGUUGCUGGGCUGACACUGACGCUGAGGCGCGAAAGCUAGGGUAGCAAACAGG